rnacentral:misc_RNA from 1 species
GAAAUGCGUUAAGUAAUGUGAAUUGCAGAAUUCAGUGAAUCAUCGAAUCUUUGAACGCACAUUGCGCCCCCUGGUAUUCCGGGGGGCAUGCCUGUUCGAGCGUCAUUUCACCACUCAAGCCUCGCUUGGUAUUGGGCGACGCGGUCCGCCGCGCGCCUCAAAUCGACCGGCUGGGUCUUUCGUCCCCUCAGCGUUGUGGAAACUAUUCGCUAAAGGGUGCCGCGGAAGGCCACGCCGUAAAACAACCCCAUUUCUAAGGUUGACCUCGGAUCAGGUAGGGAUACCCGCUGAACUUAAGC